AGGUGGGCCCAAGGUAAUCCACAUGAGCCAAUUACCUUAGGGAAAAUCCUUAUCCCAUAAGAUGUAAGAUAUAGUUUGUUAUCCUCUUCUCCUCUAUAUAAGGAGACAUCAUCCUUGUGAAGAAGCAGAAGCAACUAAAUAAGAUCCUUUGAGUUUCUUCAACAACUAUGAGUUUCUAAAUCUCUCUUCUUCUCUCUCGAAAAUCCUCUUUAUUAUGUCUUGGUUUUAGAAGAUUAGAGAAGGCAAGGAAAUGGCUUAUUUCAGAGUAAGUAUGCUCUGCACUUGUCUCUAUAAGAGGAUCUUGUGCAUCAUAAAGCUCUGAAUAUAAGGCAUAUUUCAGAGUAAGUAUGCUCUGCACUUGCCUCUAUAAGGGGAUCCUGUGCAUUAGAAAACUCCGAAUAUGGUCCUUGAAUACCAUACUGUGAUCAUAAGGAGGAACAAAGUAACAUUCUAGUAGGCCUGGAUUUCCAGGUGCUCUUAGUGAGCUAGACUGCCGCGUUGUUACUAUCUUGUGCGAUAGAUAAUAAAGUAUAUUCUGAUGGAAUCAUUGGAAAAGGGCUUAGAAAAGAAUGAUGAUAGAAGCCCAAAGUACUAUGAAUCCUUUGGUUAUGCGGUAUUAUCUCCGACACGAGACCAAAUGGUAUUAGAGCCUAAAGGAAAACCAGUUUCCUUCCUUGUCUUCUCUAAGAACAGGAACCAUGAUAUAAUAUGGAUAUGGGUGAGUAGAGAGAGAUUUUUACAACCCAUGGAAACACCUACAGAAACAUAACCUAUUCUCUUAAAUUCCUCUUUGUCUCUCCCAAACAAUAUCUCCAGAACACUUUCCUGAAAGAUCGAAAAUCUAUUAGAAUAUUCACAUGUCCCUGAAGACGCACAGGUCUCUGAGUCUUCAACUCCCCUACUUACUCCGUACAAUAUCUUCAGAAGACGCAAAUCCUCCAUCCGAUCCAUUGGCAGACUCAUUACUUCCCGAAGACCUCCUGAAAAAGAAUUUGUUCAGUCCUCCCGAAUGGAACAAUGUUCACUUGUGGCAACAUCAGAAGAACAAUAUGUGACAAUAGAAAUACCAAAAGAAUUAAUCUAUCAUUGGCAACAUGAAGGAUACGCUCACCUACAUUAUGGGGCCAUCAGACUCAUUCUUUCCCUCCAUGGAAGAAGAGGCCUUCCUGUCUCUGCCAAGGUCUCUCUUUUAGAUUCCAGAUUUCUUCACUAUGAAAAUGCUGUCAUAGGAACAAUACUCACCACCUUACAUGCGGGAAGCGUAGUUCUUACUAUGUUUCCUAAUUAUAAUGUCAGCCUGAGAGAUCAAACCAUGCCCCAAAGACUUAAAGUGCAAGUACAAAUAACGGGAGCCGAACAAGUAGCUGAAGCCCUUAGUGCAACGCUACAUCAUCAAAUUAUCUAUAGGUUGCAGAAUCAUGCAGUCAACCUAUCUUCACCCUCGAGUACUGAAGGCGCUCUGUUUGUUAUGGCUAACCCCCAUGAAGAGAGCCCAUCUAUAGUCCAGAUCCUUAGAAAUAUUUUCAGACAACAGUUAGAGAAACUUAUUCCUUUACAAUGGGUGACUAAUUACGAAAAGCUACACGAGAAUAAAAAACCUCUCUAGACUUCUGAAGCUACUUUCAGGAGAUCAAUAGACAGAACAGUCAGAACCAUUUUCAAGCAGCUAGGAGAUGAAGCCAGUACCAGCUCCUUUCAAAUUUUUCGGUCCAUGAUGAUCCGACCAGUCACCAAGGAGAAGAAAAUCCCUAUGUGGGGAGUUCUUCCCAAUGGAAAGCCCAUAUUCACAGAUAAAAUCAAUGGUCAUUUCAUAUGGGAUGUUGAUCUUUCUAUGUGUGACCCAGACUGUGAAUGCAGCAAGGAUGACGACAGUUCCGAAGACGAAGAAUCAGACGAGGAAAACACAGAUCAUGAAGAUUACUGCAGACCUUUUCCUCCUCCUAGAAGAAGAUCAUAUCCCUCCUCUGGACCAUGGAUUGGAAUUCAUGAACCUAAAGAACCAGAUCCUUUGUGGUUUAAAAAAGAUGUGCAGAAAUCCUGGGAAAAGAAGAAAGUUUCUCCUUCCGCACUAAGAUUUCUCAGUCGCCAAUCCCUUGUUUUAUGAUUUCUGGAUCCAAUUACGAACAAGAAUUUCCUUCUUUAGAAAGAACGGUAGAUCCUAUCACUAGGAUCAGCACCAAGCCGAAUAUCUCUCCAUCAGAGAUAGGACCUGAUGGGAGGUCUAAACCUUUAACUCAAGCAGAAGAGGUGCUCAACUGGCAAACAGAGAAUGCUAAAGUUCAAAACUUUAUGCUUAGAAGAAUUGAUCAAAAGAUAGAUGGACUCUCAUCGCAAGUGAAGAAUACAGAUGCAAGAUUAGAGCUCCUCUCUGAUAGAAUGAAAGAACAUUAUGUUCUUCUUACAGCUGAGAUCUCCAUAUUAGAAGAAGAAUGGAAAAGGACCACAUUUGGUGAAGCUUCCCAUGCCACAAAAAGAGAGAUCAAGAAGCCGAAGGCACAACUCCAUGACUUGGAUCAUUAUAUCGAGUCAAAAAUAAAAGAAAAGUAAUCCCCAUUCCCUGAUACUCUCAGCCUCCUCCUUUCACCCCUUAUCGGCCCUUAUUCCAACCAUCUUCCUCUACAGGUCACAAAUCCAGACAAACAUAUUCUCUCCCAACCGCUACAACAUUUAGAAACAAACAAAAACCCAGAACCUCUAUACCUCCAGUUUCUACUCAAGAAACCAGGAAAACUCCUACCGAAACUCUGUCACAAUCCCCAAUGGAUUCAUCUGAAAAGGAAGACUAUUUCCAGGACUCCCAGGAUCCAUACGCUCAAUUCACCAUUGAAAAUACCAGCAUAAGAUCUUUUGAAUACACAUCCUCUGACGAAAACACUGAAAAUUACUCUGAUAAUUAUUCAGAGUCUUCUGAUGAAUAUGCUAACAUACUCAAGGCCAACAUAGGAAGUUCUAGUAUAAGACAAGAACCCAUAUAUGAAUCUCCUGAAGAAAUUGAGCCACCUUUAAGAGAUAAUCCCUCCAAACCUAAUAGUGGGCCAUGGUUUUCCAUAGACGACCUCUCUUCCAAUCAAUGGAGAGCCAGACUUUUUGAAUUUGGAGCCUGGUAGACACCAAACUCAUCAAAGAUGCAGAUUCCUACAAGGUCAUAGAAGAGUUUUGUUGCCGAAUGACUGGAACUCUAAAAGAAUGGUAUCACAACCUAGGACCUGUCAGGCAAGACCAAUUUCAUAACUUGGGAUCAACUGCAGCAGUUUUAGGAGCCCUCCAUGAAGAGUUUAUUGGAGAUGGAGCUGUCAUUGAUAGGAAGAUGCGACAAGAGUUUUUUAGAUGAAGUGUUGCUCCCUAAACAUGAAAGAUUUAGAUAGGCAUUUCAAACGAAUGCUACAACGGUUUUAUCUGCUAAAUGGAGCAAAUGAUGUCAGUCUCAAAAAUACGUAUGUGGCCUCUCUUCCAGCCCAUUUGCAACCAGAAUUAAACAGAAUGGCCAUGGCAGCCCAGAAGGACUUCUCCACCACGACCAUGGGACAAAUCCACCAGAUGACUAAAGAGGCUGUUGAUAAGUUAUGUAGGCAACACCAAUAUUUCUCUGAUUUGAUGAAUAAUAAAGGGAAAUUUGGAAAGGCCUGCAAAAAAUCUUAUUUGGAGAUAAAAUGCAAAGACAAAUGCAGUUGUCGGAGAAAGAAAAAUAAGGGAGAAAAACCUUACAAAAGAAAAGAGAAGAAUCUCAAGUUUUUCAAAAAAAGAAAUUUCAGAAAAAGGCCCCAAGGACAGAGGUGUUAUUUGUGUGGCAAAAAGGGACAUUUUGCUAAGUCUUGUCCUAACAAAGCAGACAAGGCCAUUAAACUUGACACGUCCCUCAAGAUUAGAGAUGAAGAAGUUGAGUCACUGUAUUCAGAACAAUCUUCCCCUGAUGAAGAUACAGUUUUCGCACUAAGAAAUUACUCUGAGGAAGAAUAUUUUGAAGAAGAAACACUUCCAAUUUUCUCGACCGAAGAAAUAAAUAGCCUCAAUCCAUCUCCUCCUCAUCCCAAUAUUGAAGUUCAGAUUCUUCCAACAAAGUUCAACAUGCCUGUCAAAGCAAUCACAUACAUUGACACUGAUGAAUCCCGACAUCCUUCCUGAAGAACUCUGGUAAAAAAAGACAUCAUAUUUUAUGGCUGCUGAUGGAAAGAUAUUCAAAACUGAUCUCAUCACCAAAACCUUUAUCUAAAUCAAAUUUUUCCCUGACUGCAUCAUCUGGGCUAAAGUAAUAGGCAACAAGCUUCCUGGCAAGGAUAUUUUGAUUGGCAUGGACAUAUUCUCUAAGGAAGACAAAUUACAGAUACUGCCCUCCGGUCUAAAAUAUUAAAGGGAGUUCAAGUCUUUUGUAGAAACCUCUACAUUAUUCUCUCUUUCAACAUCCCCUUCAGAAAUGGAAGAGAUAAAAAAGAAGUUACUCUCUUUAUGCGCUAAUAAUCAUGGAGGAUUUUCUCACCCAAGACCUCUAUGGAAAAAUCCAAACUUCUUUGUUAAACUCCCUUUCAAGCUUAAUGAGCAUGUUAAUCCUACAAAAGCUACACAUCCUGGAAUGACACCAUCCGAUCUACAACUAGCCAGACAAGAAUGCCAAGAACUUUUAACACAUGGAUUGAUAGAACCCACACAUUCCAACUGGGCAUGUCAAGCCUUUUAUGUGGAAAAAAGAUCAAAAUGGGUAAGGGGAAAAAAGAGGUUAGUAAUUGAUUACAAGCCUUUAAAUCAUUUUCUUCAGGAUGACAAAUUUCCUAUUCCUAAAGCCUCUUCUCUCCCCAUCCUACUGAAAGAAUCCAAUAUUUUUUCAAAAUUUUAUUUAAAAUCCAGAUUCUGGCAGAUAGGUAUUGAUCCUUCUGAAAGACAGAAAAUAACCUUUUGUAUACCCAAUGCCCAAUACCAGUGGAUAGUACUCCCAUUUGGCCUCAAAGUCGCUCCCUCUUUGUUCCAAAAAGCCAUGACAAGAAUCUUUGAACUAAUCUUGGAAAAUGCUAUCAUCUACAUUGAUGAUAUUUUACUUUUCUCAAAAGACUUAGUAACCCAUAAAAAAUUAUUAGACCAGUUCUUCAAUUUAGCCGACCAAUACGGGAUAAUGCUUGAUGAAAAGAAAAUCCACCUGGCAUAGUCUGAAAUUGAUUUUCUAGGGAUGAACUUUUCUAAGGGUUUCUAUCAGCCACAAAAACAUAUAGCAGAAGAACUCCUUAGAUUCCCUGAUCACUCACUAACCACCAAACAAAUCCAACAGUUUUUAGGAAUCCUCAAUUACAUCAGAAGCUCUUGCAGUAAAAAAUGGAAUAAAAAAGUUUGAUUUCCACCUCAGAGGUUUUCAGUUCGAAAUACAGAUGGACAACUCCUCAUUCCCAAAUAUCCUUGAAUUCAAAAACAAAAUGCCUCCAGACCCUCAGAUAUUGUGACUCAAGGAUUGGUUCUCUCGAUAUGAUUUCACUGUAAAACAUAUCAAAGGCAACAAAAAUCUCAUUCCAGAUUUUCUAUCUCGACCAACAAAAGUUGUACAAAUGAUUACCAAGACUCACAGUUUCCCUUUGAUUUUCAUGGUAAGACCUUUACCCAAUUGUGCCAAAACCCAAAAGCUUUAUCCUCUAGGGUUAUCUCCCAGAACCCCAAAAGAUAUUUUGGAUUAUGCUAAAUCCAGAUACUUCUUUUUCCUUAAUGAGACACUAAAAUUUAAGGUCAUUCAUCCUACUGCAUUUGAUCCCACAAACCCAAACGGAAAUGUUUUUUAUCUAUUCUGUGACAUUGGAUGGGAUCUUUGUGAACCCUCAUUAUGGGCUAUAUGGUGCAAAACAGUACAACAUCCCACUCCCAUUGCCUUGCAGACAAAAAGGGCCUAUCAAAUUCUAACAGAUUCUCUCAAGCAUGAAUUUUUGUUUUGGACUGUACUCGAAUGGUUUAGUCUUAUCACCUAGUCGAGGUCAGAAUUGGAACAGAUACUCUCAUAUCAGGAAAAUCAGAGAAAGACAAAUGCACAAGCAUUAGUCUCCAUCUUUAUUGUCUACAGGCCCUAUGGAAUUAACCCCUGUGGGCAAUUGUUCUAACAGAAUCAUGCUUAUACUUGGGGAAAUUUCGAAGAAUAUCCAUUAAACGACAGCUAUAAAAGGCAGUUAAAAAGACAUCUUCAAGAUACUAAUCUCAGUGGUCAUUCCCCUUCGAGCAGGCUAAUUCCAUCUAGUUCCGGAAGCUGGCAAAUCACUGUUUGCUCGGAGUAUCAUAUCCCAGCACAAUUGUUUCAGUGAAUUGAGGAUCUGGUAUCUCCUGAAGAAGAUGAAAGUCCAAAUGACUUGAUGGAUGAAGAUUCAGAUGACCCCAACCUCUCUCCAAGUCAUGAUCGUAUAUGUAAAUAAUAAAGCCACUACAGGCCUAUUGUACUAUAAUGGUCCCAAAUGAUGUUGUAAGAUAUAGUGGACCCAAUGUAAUCUAGAUAAGAUUAGAUGAUGUGUGUAAUCUAGAUAAGAUAAAGUGUGACAUGUAAGAUAAGGUUUGUUAUCAGGAUAAGGUGGGCCCAAGGUAAUCCACAUAAGCCAAUUACCUUAGGGAAAAUCCUUAUCCCAUAAGAUGUAAGAUAAGGUUUGUUAUCCUCUUCUCCUCUAUAUAAGGAGACAUCAUCCUUGUGAAGAGGCAGAAGCAACUAAAUAAGAUCCUUUGAGUUUCUUCAACAACUAUGAGUUUCUAAAUCUCUCUUCUUCUCUCUCGAAAAUCCUCUUCUUUAUUAUGUCUUGGUUUUAGAAGAUUAGAGAAGGCAAGGAAAUGGCUUAUUUCAGAGUAAGUAUGCUCUGCACUUGCCUCUAUAAGAGGAUCUUGUGCAUCAGAAAGCUCCGAAUAUAAGGCAUAUUUCAGAGUAAGUAUGCUCUGCACUUGCCUCUAUAAGGGGAUCCUGUGCAUCAAAAAACUCCGAAUAUGGUCCUUGAAUACCAUACUGU
rnacentral:lncRNA from 1 species